rnacentral:lncRNA from 1 species
CGCCACCUGCUUCCGUGAGCGCGGGGAGAAGCUGGGCACAGCUCGCUUUACUCCCAGUGGAGGGCGGGAAGGUACCAUAUGGUGCUGAUGUGUCGGAUGCCUCCAUGUGUUGAUUUCAAUCAUUCAACUGGACACAUGCAUUUUCAACUUCUUUAAUGAGAAGCAUGUUCAGCCAGCAAAGAAGAAGAAGAAAAAUGGUUAUAGACAAGCAACCAACAGUAUCUGCCAUAGCUAUUUUAUAGCUGUUUAAACUUGGCUGGGGGUGAAAGAUGCCCUUCAGUGUCCCAAAUGAGAGAAGAGAAUUUUAAUUGGGAGUGGCCAAGGUUCACAAUUUCAGCCUGGAGGAAAGUAAAUUAAAGAGGGAAAUUUGGAUACACAAAGAGAUGCCAGGGAUUAACCUACCCAGAGGAAAGGCCACGUGAGGACACAGCAAGAAGGUGGCCGUCUGCAAGCCGAGAGAGGCCUCAGAAGAAGCCAAACCUGCU